ACGAAGAGUUUGAUCCUGGCUCAGGAUUAACGCUGGCGGCGUGUCUAAUACAUGCAAGUCGAGCGCUUCGACGUAAGUCGAGGAGCGGCAGACGGGUGAGUAACACGUUGGAACCUGCCCUGAAGUGAGGGAUAAUCCGCCGAAAGGCGGCCUAAUACCGCAUAUGGCCCCGCAAAACGGGGUUAAAGCAGCAAUGCGCUUCAGGAGGGUCCUGCGGCCUAUCAGCUAGUUGGUGAGGUAAUGGCUCACCAAGGCUAUGACGGGUAGCUGGUCUGAGAGGAUGAUCAGCCACAAUGGGACUGAGACAAGGCCCAUACUCCUACGGGAGGCAGCAGUAAGGAAUCUUUCGCAAUGGGCGAAAGCCUGACGAAGCAACGCCGCGUGAUCGAUGAAGCCCGAAAGGGUGUAAAGAUCUUUUCUGGGGGAAUAAUUCUGAAGGUACCCCAGGAAUAAGCACCGGCUAACUCCGUGCCAGCAGCCGCGGUAAUACGGAGGGUGCAAGCGUUAUCCGGAAUCAUUGGGCGUAAAGAGUUCGUAGGCGGCCUUUUAAGUUGGAUGUUAAAUCUUGAAGCUCAACUUCAAGCUUGUAUCCAAAACUGUAAGGCUAGAGAUUUGCAGAGGUACGUGGAAUUCUGUGUGUAGGGGUAAAAUCCGUUGAUACACAGAGGAACACCAAAAGCGAAGGCAGCGUACUGGGCAAAUUCUGACGCUGAGGAACGAAAGCGUGGGGAGCAAACGGGAUUAGAUACCCCGGUAGUCCACGCCGUAAACGUUGGAUACUAGAUGUUGGUUUAAUCGAACGAACCAGUGUCAAAGCUAACGCAUUAAGUAUCCCGCCUGGGGAGUACGGUCGCAAGAUUAAAACUCAAAGGAAUAGACGGGGACCCACACAAGCGGUGGAGCAUGUGGUUUAAUUCGACAAUAAGCGAGGAACCUUACCAAGGCUUGACAUCUCCCGAACCCCGAUGAAAAUUGGGGGUGCCGUUAGGAACGGGAAGACAGGUGCUGCAUGGUUGUCGUCAGCUCGUGCCGUGAGGUGUUCGGUUAAGUCCGUAAACGAGCGCAACCCUUGUCCUGUGUUGAAUCUUUCACAGGAGACUGCCGGCUUCAAGUCGGAGGAAGGUAGGGAUGACGUCAAAUCAGCAUGGCCCUUAUGCCUUGGGCGACACACGUGCUACAAUGGCCGGUACAAAGGGUAGCUAAGCUGUAAAGUGUAGCCAAUCCCCAAAACCGGUCCAAGUUCGGAUUGAGGGCUGCAACUCGCCCUCAUGAAGCUGGAAUCGCUAGUAACCGCGUAUCAGCCAUGGCGCGGUGAAUAUGUUCCUGGGUCUUGUACUCACCGCCCGUCAAGCUCCAGUA
rnacentral:rRNA from 1 species